rnacentral:rRNA from 1 species
CCUACGGGUGGCUGCAGUGGGGAAUAUUGCACAAUGGUCGAAACCCUGAUGCAGCGACGCAGCGUGAAGGAAGACGUAUUUCGGUAUGUAAACUUCUAUCAGCAGGGGAGAAAAUUACGGUACCUGACUAAUAAGCCCCGUCUAACUACGUGCCAGCAGCCGCGGUAAUACGUAGGGGGCAGGCGUUAUCCGGAUUUACUGGGUGUAAAGGGAGCGUAGGCGGUUUAGCAAGUCAGAAGUGAAAGCCCGGGGCUCAACUCCGGGACUGCUGUUGAAACUGUUGAACUAGAUUGCAGGAGAGGUAAGUGGAAUUCCUAGUGUAGCGGUGAAAUGCGUAGAUAUUAGGAGGAACACCAGUGGCGAAGGCGGCUUACUGGACUGUAAAUGACGCUGAGGCUCGAAGGCGCGGGGAGCAAACAGGAUUAGAUACCCGUGUAGUC